GCAAUCAGCUUGCCUCGGUCUCCCAAAAUGCUGGGAUUAUAGGCAUGAGCCACUGCACCUGGCCAUACACGUUUAUUUUACUCAGUCUUGCCCCUGAGUACCCAGAAGGUCCAAACUUAGGAAUAAGUCAGGGGAGGGCCAAGUUUAUCAUUCUUAGCACUGAAGCACAAAGUGCUUUGGGUGUGUGCUGGCACUAAGGGUAGGAUAUUAUUUGGAAGCUGAGUUAUGUGCUGAGCAAAUAUUUCUUUAAAAACCAAAGCUGUAUGAAAUCUGUUCUAGUGUCACAGUGUGGCUAAAUAGUGUGCGAUAAGAUAAGUUAGGGCUCCUGAGAUGGUACUGUCCUCCCACUGUAAUGAGUUUACUCUUCUUCCUAAGGAAAGUGAUUCUUGAUCAACCUCUCCUCUCAAAUUAACUGGCUUGUUUCCUGAGUGUGCCUUCAUGGAACCGUGUCUCCUUCUCUUCCCUCAGUUCUCUUUCCCUCCCUUAUGUAUGACUCCUCCCCUAAUCUGCACUCAUGGAUUGAACCAAAUGAGGGUAUUUUUCUGCUUCCUCAUAGAAGGGCAUAGAGUGGACAGGGUCUAAGGCAUGUACUCUGAAAUAUUUUUCAAAUGGAAAAGAAAGCAGAGAACACAGUUUUCAAAAUAUCUAGAGCCCUCCAAGAUGUCUGUAGUAAUCUAUAAAAUCUCAAGACAAUUUAAAGAAGAAUAGAAAAUGUUUUUGAAACACUAUUCUCUCCACAUCCUAGGGCAGCAGCCUUCUCCGAAGAAACGUAAAGAAGGAAAUGGAUUGCCUUAGCAAAAACCAAAUGAAGACACUCCAAAUAAAAGAAGACUGGGAAGGCUACAGACCUUGAAGUCAGAAGAAAAUUUCCUCUUCUUAGCCUGUUUCUCCUUCAAUGCGUCACCAGUACAGUCUCUUAUUUCUAGGGCCAUGUUCAGCUUUUUUCCCCUAAGUUGUAAUGUCCUUCUUUUGGUUCGGUCAUGUCCUAAAAUCCUACUCUUUGGUACAAGAUGAAGGUAGAUGAAGAGAUAAUGAAGGAAACAAAUUCAAUGUGUUUGCUAAGAACACAGUCUUUUAAAUCAUUCUUAAAGGGUUCUUUUAAAACAAUGUAAUAGAUUGUCGUUAUCUAUUACACAAAGCUAGUAGGAACCUCGAAGUGUAUUAAAAACAUUUCAACAUUCAGCAGUAGAGGGCAGCACUGCCCUUCAUUUGCAAAAUGUUGCGCACUCUUGAGAAGGAAAAUAAAGGCAAAACUCCUGACCCCUGUGUCUGUGUAUUUACUUUUACUGUAUACUUUUAAAAAUUGAGUAUUUCUGUUAUGGUUUAGGUGAUUAUGUAGAAAGAAUGUCAGAGCCUGGAUUGCCUGGAAGUGGUACACCAGGUAACUGGCAAAAAAACACGGAACGUUUGAGGUCCCCAACUCAGGAUAUGGGUUCUGUCUGGCAAAGAUAAACAGUAGCUUGACCCUGGGUAAUCAGAUAGGGUUAUUGUAUGAACAGACUUAAUGCUCCUGCACUUUCUGGAUAGAAGUCAAUCUACUGAAAUAGCAGGAUGUGGUUUUAAAAAAUGUGUGUAACUCGUAUAGUCUUAGCCCUCAUAACUCCUUCUAAAUUCUUAUUCACUGCCUUUAUUCUGCUGUGUUAGUGUUGCUCCCUGUUAUACCUGGGUCAGGUCAGAACUAUCUCAAAUAGAGUAUGUGUAUUAUGACUUUAAAGAGUGGUGUCAGACAUGAUGGGUAAGGAAUGUCUUUCAUGGGACUGCAGUUGACUAAACAGCUGUGUAUAAAUAGUGAAAUUGAAGCUUGUCUGCUCAUCCUCAUUCUGUCACAGUAUGAUUCGAGUUUUCCUAACCAGUAAAUAGCAAGAAAAAAUGAUCUGUUAUUUUGUACUAAAAGUUAUUGAUGCUUUUUAUCAGGAUGACAGAAUAAUUCUAAUUUUAGCAAAUACAAAACUAUAUAAUCCUA